AGUGAACGCUGGCGGUAGGCCUAACACAUGCCAGUCGAACGGCAGCACAGUAAGAGCUUGCUCUUACGGGUGGCGAGUGGCGGACGGGUGAGGAAUACAUCGGAAUCUACUUUUUCGUGGGGGAUAACGUAGGGAAACUUACGCUAAUACCGCAUACGACCUACGGGUGAAAGCAGGGGAUCUUCGGACCUUGCGCGAUUGAAUGAGCCGAUGUCGGAUUAGCUAGUUGGCGGGGUAAAGGCCCACCAAGGCGACGAUCCGUAGCUGGUCUGAGAGGAUGAUCGGCCACACUGGAACUGAGACACGGUCCAGACUCCUACGGGGGGCCGCAGUGGGGAAUAUUGGACGAUGGGCGCAAGCCUGAUCCAGCCAUACCGCGUGGGUGAAGAAGGCCUUCGGGUUGUAAAGCCCUUUUGUUGGGAAAGAAGAGCAGCAGGUUAAUACCCCGCUGUUCUGACGGUACCCAAAGAAUAAGCACCGGCUAACUUCGUG
rnacentral:rRNA from 1 species